ensembl:lncRNA
UGCAUUUUGACCAGCUGGUUUCGUCUGGGCAAAUAAAAUGGUUGCUUAACAAUCAGGUAGCAAUGUGUUCUUUGGAGAGAGGAUGAUAAUAGUUUUAGUACUUGUGUAAUUAUAAUUCAAAAGAAGGUAGGUUAUCCAAUCAGCAUCAACUCCUGUUUUACUCAAGGUCAAUAGUAGUGACGUUUAUUAGAUGAAGGCCAGACUCUUGGUACAUGUUGUAGAACAAGGACUGGAUUGUAAGCCAAACAGACUAGAGGUAAGGCUACCACAGCAAUUGAAAACCUUGUAAAAAGCCUUUCACUCAUUUGAUUUGACUCUGCAAUGUUUCUCCUGAAACCCCUGUAAUACUGCCUGUGCACUGAGUUAGAACCAGGAAAACAUGAAUCUUCCCCACAAAUAGUGUCUGGAUAUAUCUAGAAGGCUCUUACUGUAUUAUGGUUGGGACCAGGUGGCUUGUGCUGAGACUAGUUGAGGAACUGGCUGCUGUGUCACUGGAGUUGAGCUCUGUUCUUCCUGUAGUAUGGUGUAAUGUGACUGAAAUGUUGGUGGGUGGGGGGCAACUGGUGAUCAAGACCCUUUUGUCUGUGUAUGUGUUUUUAGUUUGUAUGAUUGCAGAACCAACAAAUACAGGGCUUACUAGAGGACAGGGUUUCUGGAACAAUGGUUGCCCAAUCUUCUGAUUUAGCUGGAAAAUUAUUUUGCAUUAGCCUUGCAUGUGACCAGUCAGUAUCUUUAAUGUGUCAAGCACACCAUAUUGGCAAUGCUUUGCAUCUGACUGUCAAUUCAUGCAAUUAACAUCAAGUCUUUGUUUGCUCAACUCACAUGUUGUCAUCUAGAACCCAACCCCUUGAGCACUGUAAGGAGAUACGCUGUCUGUGGUGAUGUGUACAUUGGAAUAUACAGUGUGAGUCACUGUUAUCCUCUUUAGUAUAGUUUAGAACAUAAUUUUUUUUUGUGUAGGACACUGUCAUUUUCUGUAGUAUAGAUAGUAAAUGACUCAAAACAUUUGAGAUAUGCACUCAGUUUGCACACAUUUGGCCUUGUUCAAAGAACUGACUUAACAGCUUUGAUCAUGUUUAAUGCAAACACAGCUGUAGCUUUAUUAAACAUUUUUAUUAACGCAGACUAAAUUACCAUUUGUUUAUUCAUCAGUGUAUUCAUUGGUUUAUUGGGUGGGUGUACAAAGUUGACUAUUUUGGCAUAUCAUACAUUUUUGUUCCCUUCCAGAAAAUGUCAUGCUUUUUAACUCCACUCAACUGAACUAUUUUAAAUUGGAGCAGGUUGGGAGUAUGAGGGAAAUAGUAGUUUGUACAGUACAUAUUCAGUAUAAUAGUUUGUGAACUAGCUUCUAACAUUGUGUUCAAAUAGGGUAUCAAUAGAUAUCUGGCAGAACACCAUGGCACACUACAACUGAGAGGUUGUAUAUAAAAAUAUUUUUUCAUGAUAAUAGUCAUUUAAAAAAAAUGCUUUUAGUUUUGUAUGGGAUUAUGUGAAAUGUUUUGCAUAUGAGUGUCGUCCACAAGCAGGUCCCCUGGUUUAAAAAAAGAAAGGGAAGUAUCCACUGGUUAUACCUUACCAAAGUGAUGGGAAAUUGACCAGUUCAUCUUCUGCACAGGGCCAGAUGGGAGUUGGAACUCUCCCUGCCCUCCGGAAACAGGGGUUUUAGACAAACAUUUCUCAGUAGAACACUGGGUUUGGUGCCAUCUCUCCUGACGCUGGCCAUGCAGAAAAUACCACGCCGGGCGGCUUAGGUUGCUGCUGUAUCCGCUACCUCGGGCCAUAAAAGGUAUUGACCGCUAGACAAUUAUGUGUUGCUCAUUGAAGCCACAUUCCACGAUGCAUAGUCUUCCAUUCAAUCCCAGUUUAUUGGUAGUUUUUGUCCAUUUGCGUUGCUAACUAUCACAACCAGUUAGUCAGGCAGAAUGGAACAAUACGAACAUUGGCACGCAAUGCUAGUAUGAGGACACAACUUGUAGCCAAGCCAAUAUUGAGUUCUGCUGUUUGUAUUUUAGACCAUCUCAAUCAUUCAGUUCAGUGUUAUGAAAAGGGAAAAAUCUGGCCCGCGUUUGAGAUGCAAUUUAUAGGACCUGGGAAGCGUAGCAAAUGGGAGGCUUAAUGUUUCGCUUUGCCCUGUUCAAGGUGUGAUUGUUAAAUGUUUUCAGUGAUAAAGUGACUGAAUAAAAGGUAACCGUAGGUUUCUUCCUUUUUCCAUUUGACAUGCAGUUUUGUCCAUCCUGUUUCCUAUUGUCCUGUGAAAAAUGGAGAUUACAGAUUAAAAGAUGCAUUCCUUAACCAAGUCACUCACACCUCAUGUAUCGUCAUCCAUUUCUGACGGAGGGAAAGAGUGGGAUGCAAUGAGCUGGGUCUUACACCAGUGAAAACAGUACAAUAUUCACAAUUGGACUAAUGCCCUUGUGAUAUGGGACCAUGGGGUGCAAUGGUAGAGGACCGAUUUGGUGUUGAGUGCAUAGAGAAGCACGUGGGGAGACCUUGUCUGUUGUGUAAUUUUCUAUCAUAUUCCUUGUUCUCCAAGGUCCUCAUUUCUUCUGUCUUCAUCAUUCCCAGGGGAAAUUGUGCCAAAUGUUUUUGUCUAAUAUAUCUCCCAUUCCACUCAUGUCAUGGGGAUUGAAAUGUUGUCUAGAUUACUUUCAACAAAAUAAUUCUAGUGGCAAUAGACUAGAUUUUGAUUUGGCAUGAAGAACUGCUGUGAUGCUCAGGGUACAAAAAAAUAAUAAGUGUACUUUAGCUCCUUUUAGUCUGUAAUAGUGACACUGAAGGUGUGAUGUAACAGUAGGAUUGUACUUUUGUUUCUCUGACUUUCAAUGUCUAAGUCUUAAAGGGUCAUGUUUAAAUUCCACCUUGGUUUGAAAAGUUCACUAAGGGAUCUUGCAAUCAAAAGUUGUUUUAACAUUUUGCUCUGGUUUUCACCAUAUUUAUGUCUGAUUUGCUGUAAUCUGUCCUACUUUUUUCAAAGUAGUUUUUCCAGAUCCUCCUUUGACAUCUUGCUGUAAUACAUUUGUUUUGAAAGUUGUCUUGUAAGCCGAUGAUCAAAUGAGGCUACUCUAUAACACAUUUAUUGACACCAUUGAUUUCUUACUAAAAUGUAUGAUUAUUCAUGUUGCAAUUAAAUAAAAAAAAUAAAAAAGAUUUUGC